AGCAGAGUGGCCCAGAGGAACCGUGCUGGACUUAUAACCCAGAGGUCCGUGGAUCGAAAUCACGCUCUGCUA
rfam:Trichinella nelsoni scaffold57s, whole genome shotgun sequence.